AUUUAGAAAAUAAAUUCUAGAUGACAAUUUAUGAUGAUAAAUGUAACUGGCACUUUCACAUAUUGGGUUACAUAAUCAAAUUAUUAAAAUUGCAAUUAUUUCAUUCUGCAGUGACAAUUUGACAUAUAUACAUUAUUACAUGUAUGUUUUAUCAAUAAUCUUUUAAAUUUUACAUUAUUCUUUUAUCUGUUCCUAGAUUUUCUUUCCUUCUUGUAAAAAUAAGAAUGCUUCAUCAUUAUUUUUUGUAACAUAAUGACAUCAUUUCUGGAAUUAACUGUUUUAAGGAUAAUAUUACCAGUAAAGUAAAUUCUAGAUGUUCUACAAACUGAAGAAUAAAAGCUUUCAAUUUUCUAUGUGUUUAGAGUAUUCAAAAUGCAAAUAUCUCUGAACAAAACAAAAAUUAAUAUCAGUGAUGGAGUUAUUUAUUUAUAGCACUUUGAUUUAUUAUGGUGGAUCUCAAUCCUUCCUGCAUUCCAGAAUUCCAUAAUUAGCUCUUCUUAUAAAACAUUUACUGUAAAAAUUCAGAAAUUAUUGCAUGCAUUUAUUAUUGCGAUUUUGUCAUUUAAGACUUAAAUCCGAUUUUAAUUUUUACUAAUUUAAGAAAAAUCCUGUACAAUUCAUAUUUCAAAAUGUUAGUUUAAAUUUAUAUAUUGCGUUUACAACUCUAUCGCAUUUUUAGUAAUAAUAAAACCUCGCAAUAAUUUCUGAAAUUACAGUAUCAAAAUAAUUUACUUUCUAUUUCAUUAAAAUAUAGAAUACAAAGUGUUUUUUUCCAACGACUUCCACUGAAAUAAUGUGCAAUGCACAACACCCUAAAUGGAAUUAUUAUUUAAGUUUUCAUCAUAAAGAACAUGUGUACUAAGUUUCAUGUUGAUGUGAUCACAAUUUUUAUUAACCAAAACUUUAAUCUGAUAUUAGAUGGACAGGGAGACUGACAGACCCAUAGACCUAAAAAUAUAAUGCCAUUCCAUCAAUGUAGGUGGGCAUAAAGAUUCUAAACAGUUUAUGAGAAAAAUAAUAUAGACAUAUAUAUUAAUUUUAAACAAUAAGUUUAUAAAUGUUGAAGCUUA
rnacentral:lncRNA from 1 species